rnacentral:rRNA from 1 species
GUCCACGCCGUAACGAUGAGUGCUAAGUGUUGGGGUCGGAACCUCAGUGCUGAAGUUAACGCAUUAAGCACUCCGCCUGGGGAGUACGGUCGCAAGACUGAAACUCAAGGAAUUGACGGGACCCGCACAAGCGGUGGAGCAUGUGGUUUAAUUCGAAGCAACGCGAAGAACCUUACCAGGUCUUGACAUACCAUUGACCGUUCUAGAGAUAGGAUUUUCCCUUCGGGGACAAUGGAUACAGGUGGUGCAUGGUUGUCGU